rnacentral:rRNA from 1 species
GAUGAACGCUAGCGGCAGGCCUAACACAUGCAAGUCGAGGGGCAUCAUGGCGUAGCAAUACGCUGAUGGCGACCGGCGCACGGGUGCGUAACGCGUAUGGAACCUACCCACCGCAGGGGGAUAACCCGCCGAAAGGCGGACUAAUACCCCAUGGUUCCCCGACCCUGCCUGGGGUUGGGGGUAAAGCCUACGGGCGGCGGUGGAUGGCCCUGCGUGCCAUUAGCUGGCUGGUGGGGUAACGGCCCACCAGGGCGACGAUGGCUAGGGGGUCUGAGAGGACGAUCCCCCACACUGGUACUGAGACACGGACCAGACUCCUACGGGAGGCAGCAGUGAGGAAUAUUGGUCAAUGGGCGGAAGCCUGAACCAGCCAUGCCGCGUGCAGGAUGAAGGCCUUCGGGUUGUAACUGCUUUUGUACGGAACGAAACGGUGAGCUCUAAUAAAGCUUGCUAAUGACGGUACCGUAAGAAUAAGCACCGGCUAACUACGUGCCAGCAGCCGCGGUAAACAUACUCG